GCUUUCUUUGAUCUGGAGAAUGGGAACCAGGAGCUCAAGAGCGACCUCAAGGACCUGUACAUCAACAAUGCUAUCCAGAUGGAUGUUACCGGGAGCAGGAAGGCUGUUGUCAUCCACGUCCCAUACCGCCUGCGCAAGGCCUUUAGGAAGAUCCAUGUCAGACUCGUCAGGGAGCUGGAGAAGAAAUUCAGCGGCAAGGUGAUUUUCUCUUUUUUGUUUUUUCUACUGCUGUUCGUGGUUUAGGUUUAUAUGCUGAUU